rnacentral:rRNA from 1 species
AUGCUGUUCGCCGAGGUAGUCGAGCUCGCGCACCCGAUCCAGACGGAGUCGCCGGUCGAUGUUCGUCGCGAUCCACCCCAGGUCGUUGUCUUCCUCAAUGAGGAGCAGUCCAGCGUCGCCCCAGCCGCAGGGGACGCCGCCCCGGACCCGGUGUGGUACCUGGACUCUGGCGCGUCCAACCACAUGACCGGCGACCGCACGGCGUUCGCCGAGCUCGACAACGCGAUCACCGGAUCUGUACGUUUCGGGGACGGCUCGGUGGUCCAGAUCGAAGGGCGCGGCACCGUCGCAUUCGGCACCAAGAGGGGAGCGCAACGCGCCCUGACGGACGUGUACUACAUCCCCAGGCUCAAGAGCAGCGUGGUGAGCCUUGGACAACUCGACGAGAACGGCUGCGACAUCAACGUCCACCACGGCAUCCUCUCCGUCCACGACCGACGCGGAAACCUAAUUAUCAAGGUAAAGCGAUCUUCAAAUCGCCUGUACAAACUGCAUAUUCACCCCGUGCGCCCGGUCUGUCUCGGUGCGCGCACGGACAACGUGUCAUGGCGCUGGCACGCCCGUUUCGGUCACCUGCACAUCGACGCUCUGCAGAGGAUGGCGCGGGGAGGAAUGGUGCGAGGGCUGCCAGGCAUUGAGCACUCCGGAGAGCUCUGCCAGGCGUGCCUUGCCGGCAAGCAACGCCGGGCGCCGUUCCCCCAGACGGCCAAGUACAGAGCGGAGGCGCCGCUCGACCUCAUCCACGCGGACCUCUGCGGAGCGAUCACACCAGCGACACCAGGAGGACGGCGCUACUUCCUUCUCCUCGUGGACGACCACAGCCGCUACAUGUGGCUCAACCUGCUGACGAGCAAGGACGAAGCCGCGACAACAAUCAAGGAAUUCCAGGCGCGUGUGGAGAUAGAGGCACGGCGUAGGCUGGGCACACUGCGGACGGACCGCGGAGGAGAGUUCACGUCCACGGCGCUGGCGAAGCACUUCGCGUCCACCGGAGUCCAGCGCCACCUGACCGCGCCUUACUCCCCGCAGCAGAACGGGGUGGUCGAAAGGCGCAACCAGACGGUGGUGGGCAUGGCAAGGAGCAUGAUGAAGGCCAAGGGCAUGUCGGACUACUUCUGGGGAGAGGCGGUAACCACGGCCGUCUAUCUCCUGAACCGGGCGUUCACGCGCAGCGUGGACGGGGCGACGCCGUACGAGGCCUGGCAUGGCAGGAAGCCAGAGGUGAGCCACCUGCGAGUCUUCGGGUGCGUGGCGCAUGUCAAGAGCGCGCGCCCCCUCCUCAAGAAGCUGGACGAUCGGAGUACUCCCAUGGUGCACAUCGGGUAUGAGCCUGGUUCCAAGGCAUACAGGGUGUACGACCCGGCGACGCGCAGGGUGCACGUGUCCCGCGACGUUGUGUUUGACGAGAGCGCGAGCUGGGACUGGAGCAACGAGACGGCGGGCGCAGGCGGCUCCUUCGUCGUCGACUUCUCGGCAUACGGUGGACCUCUUAAAGAUGUGCUCACCCCGGCAAGAAUCUCUGCUCCGCCGUCACCCGAACCUGCCACCGGGGCGGCUGGAGAGAACACGCCUACAUCGCCACACUCCGGUCCCGAUGCCGGGGCACCGCUUUCGCCAGCAGCAGGUGGCGCGUCAGCUGCCACCCCUGUCUGGCAUGAUGUGCAGUUCGCAACCCCGCCACCUCAUGACGCGGACAUGUUCGACGACGCAGACGAUCCCGACGCCGUGCACCGCUUUCGCCGCCUGGAUGAUGUGGUCAAUCUUGCCGCGGCGCAAGGCGGAAGGACAGAGCACCUCCUUCUACUACCCGAGGGAGAGCCGGCGACGUUCGCAGAAGCGGAGCCCCAUGCGGCGUGGCGGGCAGCGAUGACUGAAGAAAUGGCGUGCAUUGAGUCUAACGAGACCUGGUCUCUCUGCGAUCUGCCUGCAGGUCACCGACCCAUCGGCCUGAAGUGGGUUUUUAAGGAGAAAAGGAACGCCGCCGGCGAGGUGAUCAAACACAAGGCCCGUCUGGUAGCGAAGGGGUUUGUGCAGCGCGCCGGGAUCGACUUUGAAGAAAUCUUCGCCCCGGUGGCCCGUCUCGACUCUGUGCGUGUGUUGCUCGCCGCAGCCGCACAUGAAGGAUGGGAGGUGCACCAUCUGGAUGUCAAAUCGGCCUUCCUCAACGGUGAACUUGAGGAGGAGGUGUACGUGGUGCAGCCUCCCGGAUUCGAGCACGCCGGCGCGACGAGCAAGGUGCUCCGACUGCACAAAGCGCUCUAUGGGCUGCGUCAGGCACCGAGGGCAUGGUACGCGAAGCUCGACAGCAGCCUCAAUGCUCUAGGCUUCGAGAGAUGCCCAUCCGAACAUGCAGUGUACACGCGGGCUGGUCAUGGUGGCCGGCUCCUGGUGGGCGUGUAUGUAGACGAUCUGAUUGUCACCGGAGCAUCCACGACAGCGAUCGCUGAGUUCAAGAAGGAGAUGAUGGCACUCUUCAAAAUGAGCGAUCUGGGGCUACUGAGCUACUACCUCGGCAUCGAGGUAGACCAGAGGCCGGGCCAGAUCAUCAUCGCACAAUCCGCGUACGCCGGCAAGCUACUGGAGAAGGCCGGCAUGGCCGACUGUCACCCCGUGGCCACGCCGAUGCAGCAGCGCCUUAAGCUCAGGCGGGAGGGGGCCGGUGAGCCUGUGGACGCCACCUACUACAGGAGCGUGGUGGGGAGCCUCCGCUACCUCACCCACACGCGCCCGGACAUAACCUACGCCGUCGGGUACGUCAGCAGAUUCAUGGAAGCUCCGACGAGCGAACAUUGGGCUGCUGUGAAGCAGCUCCUCAGGUACAUCGCCGGCACACGCCAGCUGGGAUGUCGCUAUGCACGGCAGGAGCACGGCGCAGAGCUCGUCGGCUACAGCGACUCGGACCUCGGGGGAGACUUGGACGACCGCAAGAGCACCAGCGGCACCAUCUUCUUCCUCGGUGGCAGCCCGGUAUCAUGGCAGUCAGCCAAGCAGAAGAUCGUCGCACUUUCUUCGUGCGAAGCAGAGUACGUCGCCGCGGCUGGUGCUGCCUGUCAGGGCAUCUGGCUCAGACGGCUGAUCAGGGAACUGCUUGGGCGUGACGACGGCGCCACCAGGCUCUGCAUCGACAACAAGUCAGCCAUCGCACUGAGCAAGAACCCUGUCUUCCAUGACAGGAGCAAGCACAUUGAGCUCCGCUACCACUUCAUUCGUCAGUGUGUUGAGGACGGCAGCAUCGACGUUCAGUAUGUCAGGACUGGCGAUCAACUUGCAGACUUUCUCACGAAGGCGCUCGGGCGAACUCAGUUCCAGGAGAUGCGUGAUCGUGUGGGGAUCGUCAAGUACAAGCCAACCUAG